AGGAGGAGUGUUCGAUCUGUCAUCGCGGCUUCGACUCUGGCCGCGGUCAACUGGAAUCUCCUGAGUAUAGUUAAAGGGCUCAGGUACCCUUACAUCUUCCGCAGAGGGGAAGUGCACUUUUCCUCUACCACCCAUCCCAUAAAUAUGAGGAAUGGGGGCAUUAAUGUUGUCAGACUUCUCGGAAGAAUCCCUAGCAUGUUUAGGGUGCUUCCUCUUUCUCUUCUUCGGCCUCUCAAAUUCAUCAAUCGGCCUGUCAACAUCCACCACUUGGAUAGGUGGAAAAUCUUCAAUUCCAACCCCCGAGUUUGGGGGCAAUGUCGGCGACUUAAGUGUUGAACUCGCCGAUGUUGGUACGGAACUCGCCGAUCCGAGUUGAAUUACUCGGCGAGGUCUCUUAAACAUGGGGACAACCCCCUUGCCUUUGGCCAGCGACUUCCCAAGGGGACUCGCCGACUUAGCUGCAAGAGUCGGGGGAUCUCACCCAGUUCAAUAAGGGGCUCUGCCACGACCAGAGUCAGGGAGUCAUCCGUCAAACUCGCCGAUUUCUUGCUAGAACUCGGCGAGUUUUCAGGAGUCAGCCCGAGCAACUCGCGGGCAGUAGCAAGGAACCUGACGUUCUGAGGCGCGUCGACAGCCGGAAUCUCCGACCCACCGCGCGAAGGCGAGGGAAUCGGAGACUCGACGGUGUCGAGCACCCCCGUCAGGCCUUCAUCUAUAUCAUCGUUCAGUAUGUCGGCGACCAGAGUUUCGGUCUCCGACAUUGUCAAUCUAGGGAGAAACGGUUCGUCUGCCAUAAGUCGGCGAUUUAGAAGUAGACUCAGAGACUUGGUGAAAAGAUCUGGUGAUUGUAAUGAAAGUCGGCGAGUUAUGAAGAAGCUCGGUGACUUAGAAAGGGAUUAGGGUUUAAGCAAAAUCAGGGUAAGUGGUGUGCGGAUUAAAAUAAUCGACUCACUAUUUAUAGACCCUGGGUAAAUUGCAACCCCCCCGGAGAAUCUACAAAUUACGCGAAGAAAAAUCGCUAAUUGAUCUCCAAAUCCGCAAACUCGGCGAGUCUCUCGCAAACUCGCCGAGUUUGGGAAAAAAUCACGGGAUACGAGGAGGAAAUUUCCAUACUUGGAAAAUUUGCAAAUAUUUCCCAAGAUCCUAAGGAUUCUCGAAGAGAUCCGCCAGCUCAUACUAAAACUCGCCGAGUUUAUAGGAAAAUCGCCGAUCCAGGUCAGCGAAUCUCCAGGUUUCUCAAAAAAUACCUUCAAUACUAAGUCGGCGAGUUAACACUUUAAGUCGCCGACUUAGGAUAUACACAGUAUCUUAGGGGGAAAAUCACAAACCUCCUUCCACAACUUCAGGGGAGAGUAUCACAAGCUCUCCCGACAUUUCUAUCGCUUUGGCUAGAAAUAGUCAAACCUCAGGGGGGAGUAUCACAAGCUCUCCCGACAUUUCUAUCGCUUUGGCUAGAGAUCGUCAAAACUCAGAGGGGAGUAUCACAAACUCUCUCGACUUUUCUGUCUCCGGCCGGAAAUUGUCAAAACUCAGGGGGGAGUGUCACAAACUCUCUCGACUUUUCUGUCUCCGGCCGGAAAUUGUCAAAACUCAGGGGGGAGUAUCACAAACUCUCUCGACUUUUCUGUCGCUCCGGCCGGAAAUUGUCAAACCUCAGGGGGGAGUAUCACAAGCUCUCCCGACACUUCUGUCGCUCUGGCCAGAAGUCGUCAUACAUAAGCACGGUCAGUCUGUCGCUUCAGCCAGAUUCACCGAGGAGUGGUUAAAGUAAGGAAAAGAGUAUCGCAAGAGGUAUUUUCGGUCAAUAAUCAUAUGCGUUUUCAGACUGAUCUAGUUGUUUUGCAGGAUGUUUUCUUUUGUUGUUUUGCAGGACGUUUUCUUUUUUGCAGGUAUUAUUCUGUCGCUUUGGCAAGAAUAAGACUCUAAUAGUGAGUCCAAGUAUCUUGUCGCAUUCUGCCUUGAUACACUAGAGAUCGUUCUGUCGCUUUAGCCUUAACGAUUCUCAACCCAUCUUGUCGCUAAAAAGCCUUGAAGGGGGCCGUCGUUGCGGACUUUAAGUCGCUCUUGAUCAGAGUGGACUAUAAACAUUAGUUCUAUCGCUUCGGCUAGAACUUGGGUCUAUCGCUCUGGCAAGAACCCGAUUAUGUCGCUAAAUAGCCUUAAUCGAUUCCGUCGCUUUGGCCGAAAUUUAUCUUGUCGCUUCGGCCUCGAUAACACAGUGCAGUCGCCCCUGAUCAGGGAAGGACUAUAAACAUGAGUUACCGUGGCCUGGAACUCGAUCUAUUCUUAUCGCUUUGGCCUAUGGAUUCUGAAUCAUUACGUCACUGUGGGCGGAUGAUUCGAUCUCAUCUUGUCGCUUUGGCCUUGGUGCUGGGUCUAACACUUUGAACCUUGAUUGACGGGGGGGGUACUAGUGAUACACCAUGUUUCUUGUGCUCUCUUCAGGGGGGAGUACUGGAGAGACAUGCCUGAUUACACCAGUCACUACCCAUCAACGCCUCUCAACAAGGACUAGGGCUCCGUCGCUAUGGCAGGACCCCCGGAGAGCUCCCACGGUGCGGAACACGUUCAUCGUCUAGAUCGCCGAGUUAGCCCGUAAAGUCGCCCGAUUGGACUACCAAGUCGCCGACAUACAGGAUAACUCGCCGAGUUAAGGCAAGAUCGGCAGUAUGGUAGACUGUACAUCUUGGACCUAGAAACUCGCCGAGUUAGCCCUUAACUAGGCGACUUCCAUACCUGAAUCGGCGACUUACGACCGUUACUCGGCGGCAGCCAACGUCAUAAAUGUUACCAUAUAUGACCAUAGGCGCGAUCUCCGCCGAUGAGUGCGCCCUCCGAGACCCUAUAAAAGGGGUCCCAAGGGGACACUCAAAGGCACGAUUCAAGUUCCACUCUCACACCAGAGCACCACACUACGAAACUCGGCGAGUCUCAUUAGAAUCGCCUAGUUUCCACUUGCAGGUAUUUGAUGUAGAGCGUGCGUCGUGGACUCCAAAGCCUCCGGCAUCAACCUCGCACCACCUCGAGCCCUGGUAGCAGAUUCAGUGCUUCAUCACCUAUGUAGACGAUCUAUUGGUCACAGGGAAUAACAUUAACUAAAUAAAUAAAACAAAAAUGGAACUAGCAAAUUUUUUCAACAUAAAAGAUCUAGGAAAAUUAAAAUAUUUCCUAGGACUAGAAUUCACCUAUGCACAAACAGGAAUAUACAUGGGACAAAGAAAAUAUAUACUAGACCUGUUAGAAUCAACCGGGUAUCUGAAUUCAAAACCAAAAACUACACCAGCAAAGAAAAUAACAAAAAGGAAAAUGAUGAAACAGAACUCGAGGAUGCCACACAAUACAGGAGCAUAGUAGGAAAAUUAAUGUACCUGCUAACUGUAACAAGACCAGACAUAACAUACGCAGUAAAUACACUAAGCCAAAACAUGGCUAAACCAAGGCAAAAUGACCUAAACGCAGCACAUAAAGUGCUAAAAUAUAUUAAACAAUCACCUUGUUUUGCUAUCUCUUUCUCAGGAUCCAACACAUCAGGAUUAAGAGCCUUCUCAGAUUCCGAUUGGGCAUCAUGUCCUUCAACAAGGAGAUCGACAACAGGGUUCGCCAUAUUUCUUGGGGGAUCUCUAAUAUCAUGGCAAACAAAAAAACAACACACAGUUGCUAGAUCAUUAGCAGAAGCGGAGUACAGGGCAUUAGCAUAUACAAGUUACGAGAUAACAUGGAUCAUCAAUCUACUAAAAGAAAUCAGAACUUACAAGAAUGAGACACCAAUCCUUUACAUGGACAGCAAGUCUGCAGCAGCAAUAGCAAAGAACCCAGUACUACAUCAAAGAACAAAACACAUCGAGAUUGAUAUUCACACAGUGCGCGAUAAAAUCAUGGAAUUUUUUUUGAAGAUAGACAGGACUCGAGAAUGAAUGUAGCCAACAUGUUUACAAAGCCAGUAAUGGGAACAUUGUACAAAAUACUACUGAUGCAACUCGGAAUGAAGAACAUACAUCAAGGAAGAACAGAAAAUAAAAUCAAAGAAGGUGAAGGAAGGGAAGAAAACCUUUGACACCGAAGCGACUCCUGCCAAAACCCUAGGAUCACCAGCCGACAAUAUUCAAAGAAAAACCCCACACACGCCUUUUAUAGUAACACCAAUAAAACUAACCCAAUAAAUCCCUAUAUCCAUAUAUCCGAAUAACCGAAUAUCCACAUCCAUAUAUCCGAAUAUAAGCCCAUAACCCAAAUACUAGCCCAAAUCUUAGUAGCUUAUGGCCUUAUUUUCGAGGGAGACUAUUAGAAUUAUUGGGAAAAUUAUCCCUCUAGUACCUACAAAACUAUAAUAUCUCAUUACUUAUUAUCCAAUCCAAUCAUUCUCAAUAUAUACCUACUUCCUAAUAUAUUACUCCCUAAUAUAUCUAUUUCCUAAUCCAAUUUAUUACCAUAAUUAAUCACACCAACCAAACCUACCUAAACCUUUAUAGCCGUUGGGUUUCUACCUCUAUAAAUAUGGAUCAUCAUAACAUAACCUAUAGGUUUUGGAUUCAAGUUUUUGGUCCCAAAUCACCAUCUCUAUCUUCUUCAAUCUGUUCUCUGGAAUCUGCAAUCUGUCCUCUGGAAUUCAAAUCAUCUGAUCAAGCUUGCUCUUCAUCUGGAGAUUAUUCAUUUGAUCUGUUCAUCAUCUUCAUCAUCUCCAGCAACUACAUUCUGCAAUCAUCUUAAUCUUCACGAAUCUGUAUUGUCAUUUACUUUCCAACAAGUUCAAUAUUGUCAUACAUAAAUAUUGCAUUACAUCUCAAAUACUUGGAUAAUCAUACAUCAUAAUUAUAUAAUUCUAACAACAAUAGACCCAACAAAAGCCGGUAGCAGAUCCACAACGCUAUGCAGAUUGUUAAGCAUCAUCCAAGACACCUCUCGUGGGAGUACCGGAAGUAUAUCCUUAACUUUAAACGACAUCUUCAACACGUCCACACCCAACAACGAUCCCCAUCUUCCGCCGCACACCGCGAGCCACAAAACCCACAGGAAAGCAGUUGUCGUGGUCAUGAGGUAGCGAAAGCUGUGCCUGCCUGGUCAUUUAAUUGCCACACGGAACAGUGGAAGUUUUGCCUUUUGGCAUUUGGUGGUAUAUUUAUCAAAACCAUAUACUUAAAACUCAUUCCCAAUUUCCCACACUAUUAUGUGCAACGGGGGAUGAAGAAAUUACUGGUGGAUACCAUUUGGGUAGACGAUGAACCGGAACCAUGAAAUGGACAAUCGAUAAGGACUGGAGCCAUCACCUGAACAAAUGAACUAGAACCAUUACCGGAAUAAAGGAAGACGCCGAAAACUGGAAUGCACUCGCCGAAAACGGAACUGCGGAAGACGGACAUGAUCGAGAAACAGAACGAUGAACGAAGAAGAACGGAAAUCGUCGAUCGGAAACCCAGAAAUAGACGGCGGAAAAAAACUAGCCGGAGAACUGCGGAAGACAAUCGACUGAAAAUAACCGAGGAAAAAAACUAGCUGGAAAAAAGCCCCUUGAACAAAUGUCACAGUCAUAUCAAUUAAAUUAAUAAUUUCUAAAUUAUUUGAAAACAAAUCUUUAAUGAGUGAGGUAACUUUCCGUUUAUCCAAAUUUUGUGGUUCAUUAAAAGAUUGCUCGUCUGUACAUAUAUGUGGUAUAUAAAAAAGAAAACAAGUUAAAAAUUAAAAUACAGUUUUUUUUAGAUACGCUCAAAAUCACUCACCCUAUCUAAACUAUUGGAUCUUCUUAUAGUCAAUCUUAGUCGUUAUUUUUUUAAUCAUUAAAGCGGUUUGGACCCAGAGUCCCGAGUUCGGGUCCAGAUUAGCCAGACCCGGCUGGACCUAGACCCGGAUAUUAUAAUUGUUAGAUAAAUAUUUUAUAAUAUAUUAGUAAGUUAAGGUUUAAAUAUAAAUAUUUUAAAAUAUAUUUUAUAAUAUAUUAAUAACUUAAGGGUUAAAUAUAAAUACACCAUUUAUAUUUUAUAGAAUUUGUAUCAGUUAAUCUGAUCCGUCGGUUGUCUAAUCGAUGGAUCAAAUAUUGAAUUUUGAUUUUUUGGUUAAUUUUGUCAUUAGUAAUGUUUUACCUGUUUUUGUAGGUAAAGUUUAUAAGGGUUGAUAGGUUAGGUUGAUACGUGUGCAGUUAUAGGUCUUUUAUUAUAUAUUUAUUGCUUUGUCUUGUCUAUGUGCAUGUCUUCUUCUAUUUCAGUUCAUCAUUCUCCUGUUUUUCUGUUUCUUCUCCUGUUUUUCUUAUUUUUCUCCAGUUUUUCUUCUUUUUCGGUGUUGAGUUUAUCAUUCUCAUGUUUUUCUCCUUCUUCUUUAGUUUUUCUUCUUCUUUUUAUUUGAAACUGGAUUUUCCAUUGUAACAGGUGUUUUCUUCUUCUUCUUGGGUUUUAUUUUCUUUAUAUUGAUUUUACCAUUUUCCAGUUUAAUCUCAUCUGUUUAUUUGGUUUACAUUCCUUUGAUUUCAGUGCGUUAGGCCCUAGGGCAGGAGUUAUAAAUACCUCCCAUGGUGCAGAAGGGAGGGGGAUCGGUUACCUGAGAAUAGGAAUAGUAGAGAAUUGUGUGUGUGAGCACCUCAGCGCGAGCCCACACACCAUCAACGGUGAACCUGACGUGAAACUAAUACUCAACCGGAGAGAGGAUGGUCGGAGGGAGCUGGUUCCACAAAGGGCAAAGCUCGAAGCAGCUCGGGCAGAAACAGCUCGCGACAGGGAGCUGAGCCCGAAUACUGCAAGGGCGGAGCGAUCGCGAGAGGAGGGGAAGACUCGGAUAGAUCCGAUCCCUACUUCUCAUACAGAAAGCAGUGCGUCGCCUGGGCGCUCGAGACCCAGGAGGCAGCGUGGAGGGCGAGAAUGGAGGAUGCGGACAGGGUGGCCUGGCACAAGGAGAGGGACGCCGCAAAGGAGAUGGCCCGACGUUUGAAGAAGGACGACAGACGUAGGGAGGAGAGGAAACAGAGACGGGAGAGGCGGGACCGCUCCCGGACCCCAACGGAGAGGGGGGAGCGCCGCAGGAGGAAGCCCUUAGAAAAUGCGAAGCUCUCGGAAAUGGUCUCCGCUCUACAGAACAGCCAGCGGCAGUUGCGAGAAUAGGUCCUCCAACUAACCGCCGAACGGUGAGUGCUGGAGUCGGAUGGCGUUGGUGGAGGCACAGCAGGGGGGACCCCGCGAGUGGAGCGAUAGUCACGGUGCCCGGCACGGGGGGUGGGGAAUCCCUAGCACAACAUUUGCUGGAGGGCGAGUACCCCAUCGGCUGGAGAACCCCAAAGAUCCCCGAGUACAAGCUAGAGAGAUAUCGACCCAAGCGACCACCUUUAUUCCUUUAAAACAAACAUGGAGGACAGAACCGAUAGGAAGGACAUUUGGUGUAGAAUGUUUCGAAGGGCGUUCGCGGGUGACGACGUAGCGUGGUACAGAACACUCCCCAAGGCCUCGGUCCAUACCUUCGAGGAGCUAGAGAGAACCUUCUUGGCGGCGUUCGCCCACAAGUGAAGGAGACCGAAGACCAAAACCACCCUCAGUGCAGUAGUACAGGGGGACUUCGAGAGCACGCGAGCGUACAUGAACCGGUUCGCGAGGGUGGUGAAGGAAAUCAAAUGUAACGCCACUGACUCCAGAUCUAAGGAAUUUGUAGGAGGAGUAUUCGAGCCUGUUGACCAAGUCUCUCCUAUAUCAAAAAUGAGCGUUACUUGAAAUGGAGGACCCAGAGCCAUGGCCGUAGCUACAUGAGGGUCAGCUACUGACGAGAAUUGAAGAACUAUGUCGGCUCUUCUAUUCACCGAUGUCUGUGAAUAAAAUAUCGAUUAGAUGACUAUUAUAUUGUUGAUGAUAAUUAUGUUACGUUAUAAAUAUAUAUAUAUGUACAAUUGCAAAAUUUACACACGCCGCACGUUCCCAUGUAUCAAAAGCCUUUGUAAAUAUCCUUUUGCGGAUGUAAAAUGGAAUGGUAGUGCCAGACGGAUCGAGGUAGAACUUCACUCUACGAACGUCUCUGACCCGGGCAGUAGCAGGGAUGACUGCACUACAGGUUUGUCCGGAUGAAGUUGUUAUGGAUGCGAGGAGGAAGAAACCAAGGAAGACAAGAUAUGACAUGGUGAAUUAAUGACAAAAAUUUAGUUUCAAGCUUUGGGAAAUUGUGAUGUGUUCAAACUCAUCAUACACACCCAUAUUUAUACAACUUUUCUACAAUGUGAAUUUAAUGAGUUGAGAAUAAAAUGUUGACCGUAUUAAAGAGGGUGGACCCGUUUAAUGAAUAUUGAUGUCGAAAAUAUUUUAUUUUAUCACAUCAAAAUAAGUAGACAGACUUCAUUCUAUAUAGAGUUAGGUGAUAUCUCAAUUCUCACUAUUAAAUCCAAUUCCAACGACCCCACAUUUGAUUUCUACUUAUUCAUUUUGUUUAUUAAUUUAUUUAAAUAUCAUUAAAUAUGCACAUUAACUUGUAAAUUGUAAUCGGAAUCGCAUAAAUUUAGAUUUUUAUAUAAUUAAAUUGAGAUUUUGAUAUAAUUAAAAAGAUUUUGAUGUAAACUGACUUUUCAUGUCGAGAAAAAAAAUAUAAUUAAUGUUGACAAAUUUAUUUGCCCUACCUACUAAUUCUUCUGAUCAUUUGCAAUUUAUUUGGUAUCGAUAUAUAUUAGUGUGUCCAAAUUAUCAUACAAUUUUGCAUAUAUUUGCAAGUUGAAUUUUACAACUGGAAAUAGAUUACAAUUUAAAAACUUUUUUAAUUAAAAAUAAAAUAUUUUUAUUUUCUAACUUUUCAUAUCGAGAAAAAUUUAUAAUUAAUAUUAACAAAUACUUUUGUCCUAACCAGUUGCUUUUCAAUUAUCAUUAAUUCGUUAUUACACAUAUUUGCGUGUCCAAAAUAUUUUAUUUUAUCACAACAAAAAAGUGGACAGACUUCAUUCUAUCUGAAGUUGGGUGAUAUCUCAAUUCUCACUAUUAAAUCCAAUUCCAACGACCCCACACAUGAGAUUUCUACUUGUUCAUUUUGGUUAUUAAUUUAUUUAAAUAUCAUUAAAUAUAUGCAUUAACUUGUAAAUUGUAAUCGGAAUCGCAUAAAUUUAGAUUUUUAUAUAAUUAAAUUGAGAUAUUGAUAUAAAUUAUUUUUUUAUAUAAUUAAAAAGAUUUUGAUGUAAAACUGACUUCUCACGUAGAGAAAAAAAUAUAUGAUUAAUGUUGACAAAUUUAUUUGCCCUACCUAAUAAAUCUUCAGAUCUUUUGCAAUUAAUUUGGUAUCGACACUUUAACGGAUCCAAAUAAUCAUACAAUUUUGCAUACAUUUGCAAGUUGAAUUUUAUCACUGAAAAUAGAUUGCAAUUUAUAAAUUAUUUUAAUUAAAAAUAAAAUAAAAAUAUAUUAUUUUUUCUUCUAAUUUUUUACAUCAAGAAAAAUUUAUAAUUAAUAUUGACAAAUACUCUUGUCCUAACUAGUUGCUUUUCAAUUAUCAUUAAUUCGUGAUUACACAUAUUUACGUGUCCAAAAUAUUUAUUUUAUCACAUCAAAAGAAGUGGUCAGACUUCAUUCUAUCUGAAGUUGGGUGAUAUCUCAAUUCUCACUAUUAAAUCCAAUUGCAACGACCCCACAUUUGAUUUCUAGUUGUUCAUUUUGGUUAUUAAUUUAUUUAAAUAUCAUUAAAUAUGUACAUUAACUUGUAAAUUGUAAUCCAACGUGAUCGUAUAAAUUAUUUUUUGAUAUAAUUAAAAAGAUUUUGAUGUAAACUGACUUUUUGCGUCGAUAAAAAAUAUAUAAUUAAUGUUGACAAAUUUAUUUGCUCUACCUACUAAAUCUUCUGAUCAUUUGGAAUUAAUUUGGUAUCGACACAUAUUAGUGUGUCCAAAUUAUCAUACAAUUUUGCAUAUAUUUGCAAGUUGAAUUUUAUCACUGAAAAUAGAUUACAAUUUAUAAAUUAUUUUAAUUAAAAAUAUUUUAUUUUUCUCUUCUAAUACCACAAAAUAUAUGGACAAACACAAGUACUUUAUCUAAAGUGGAAUGAUAUUCUCAUGCACCAUUAAAUCCAACCACACAUAAGGGUUCAUUUUAUCCAAACCCCAACCCCACAUUUUUCACCAUUAAUUCUCACAAUUAAAUCCAACCCCAAUCCCAAAUUUAAUUACAAGUUUUUUCUUUUAGGUCAAAAUUUAUUUAAAUGUCAUUAAAUAUGUGCAUAAACAUGUAAAUAAUAAUCUAAUGUAAAUAGUAUAAAAUAAGAUUUUUAUAUAUUUAAUAGAUUUGGAUUUAAACAGACUUUUCACGUAUAGAAAAAUAUAUAAUUAAUGUCAAACAAUUAACUUGCCCUACCCAAUAAUUCCUUUUGACCGCUUACAAUUAAUUUGAGAUCGACACAUAUUUGCGUGUCCAAAUUUGCAUACAAUUUUGUAUACAUUUGUAAGUUGAAUUUUAUCACAAAAAAUAGAUUACUAUUUAUAAACUAUUUUAAUUAAGAAAAAAUAAAAAUGUUUUAUUUUUCUCUUCUAACUUUUCACGUCGAGAAAAUUGUAUAAAUAAUAUUGACAAAUACCCUUGUUCUAACUAGUUACUUUUCACUUAUCAUCAAUUUAUGAUCGACACAUAUUUGAGUGUCCAAAUUAUUUUACUUUAUCAUACCAAAGUAAGUAGACAAACUUCAUUUUAUCUGAAGUUUAGUGAUAUCUCAAUUCUCACUAUUAAAUCCAAUUCCAACGACAUCAUAUUUAAUUACUAGUUGUUAAUUUUAGGUCAUAAUUUAUUUAAGUGCCAUUAAAUAUGUGCAUAAACUUGUAAAUUGCAACCCAAUGGCAUCUUAUAUAAAUUUAGAUUUUUAUAUAAUUAAAUUGAGAUUUGGAUAUAAACUAUUUUUUGAUAUAAUUAAAUAAAUUUUGAUGUAAAAUGACUUUUCACGUCAAGAAAAAAUGAUGUAAAUUUUUUAUUUUCCCUACCUAAUAAUUCUUCUGAUCAUUUGCAAUUAAUUUGAGAUCGACACAAAUUCUUCUGAAUUUUAUCACAGAAAAUAGAUUACAAUUUAUAAACUAUUUUAAUUAAUUUAAAUAAAAAUGUUUUAUUUUUUACUUCUAACUUUUUACGUCGAGAUUUUUUUUAUAAUUUUUGUUGACAAAUACCUUUGCCCUAACUAGUUAUUUUUGUAGAAUCUAAAUUGUUGAUGCAUAUUAUGUAUUGAUAAUCAUGUUUAGUUAACCAUUAUCAUGUUGUUAUUCCCUAGCUAGGAUAAAUUGAAUUUGAAUUAAACCUAAUUUCAAUUAGGUUUAAUUAUAUUAAACCUUAGAAUUAUUUGAGCAUGUCUAAAUAAAGUCAAAAUUCAAAGAACGAUUUUUAUGGUCAACAAGUCAACAUGUUGUAGUUGAGAAUCAAUAGGGUAAAUUGAUUUGAAUUAAACCUAAUCUCAAUCAGGCACAUAUUAACCUUAGAAUUAUUUGACCAUAUAAAAAUUCAAGUCAAAAGUCAAAACCCUAAUUUCGUGGUCAACAUGUCAACAUUGUGUAUUUGAGAAUUAUUCCUAAUUACCAUUAACUAUUCUUAAUCUUUGUCUUAUAGCAAAUUUCAAUAUAAGGAUGGAAAUAAUACAAAAGAGGAAUUCAUGUGAAUAAUACAAGAAAUACAUGGGUUGAAGAGAAGCUAAACCUUGAUUAAAGAUAAACUUAUCAUAGAACAAAGGAAAAAUAUCCAACCACAUUUUUUACUCUUGUGAAAGAUCAAGGAACUAUUGAUUCAAGAUCUAAUGGAGAAGAUCAUUUGGUCAAAGCUAUAAAUAGAGUGGUAUACCCAUUGCAAAAGCCAACCACGCUACAAGAGAUUUUCAAAUAUCAGCAUUGAGCCCCUCAUUUCCACUCUUAACGUCCACAACUUUCAAAAUCUCCAAGUUUCCAACGUUUUCAAAUUGUGUUCAAAUGUUCUUGUUCAAAGGUGUCAAAAGCUCUACACUUCUUCUUCUAAUCUUCUUGAGUGUUCAUAGCAAGUUUGAAGUGUUGUAAUCCUAAACUUUCUCCAUCAUUUUCGUGUGUAUUCCACUUUAGUUGAGAGAGUUGUCUCAAAAUCACCAAAGUGGAAAGGAGGGUUAUUAGGCUUAAUCAUAAAGCUCUAAGUUAGUUUUAUAGAGUUAUCUAGAAAACUCUUAGGUGCUAUACGUCUACCUGGAAAGACUUGGGAAAGUUUUAAGUUUACUUUAAAAACUUAAAUGGUUCGUAAGCAUUGUAGUCUGUAAAAAGCCUACAAAAGGUUCGUAAGCAUUCACUACAAGAAAAGAAAUCUACAACGACGAUUUUGGAUCAUCGCUCAAUUUUAAGAAGGAUUUUAAAGAAAACACACGAUGUUAGCGACGAUAUAAAAAUGAUCUUUUUUUGUAUAAUUAACGACGAUAUAUUGAUAAUCGUCGCUAAAUAUACGAAUUAUAGCAACGAUUUAAAAUUUAACGUCGCUAAUAAUGAGUACAAAUUUAUAAAAUUUUAUAACAAUAAGGUAUUUAUGUAAAAUGACCCUUUUAUAUAUAAUUGUCUUUUAUUAUAAAAUCCCAAAUUUCCCUUUCACUAAGCCUAAACGCUCCAUUUUCCCAAUCUCUCCUAUCGCCGAAUUUCCCCAAUCUCCCCUAUCACUGGAUUUUCCCGCCAGUCAUCAUCAACGGACGAUAGAUUUUCCUAUCGGUCAUCAUCAACGAACGCCGGCAUCAAUAUGGAGCAGAUAUGUUCAUUGGGUUUCUAGCUGUAUCUUCCCUAUUUCUGUUUGGAUUUCUUGUUGGAUUUCUGUUUGGGUUUGUCAUUGGAGCUUGUUUGCAUCUUUCUGUUUGGGUUUGAAUCCUUGCUAAUUCGUUUUACACAAUGUUUUGUUUCUGUUUGAAUCGUUGCAUCGUUUUGUUUCUGUUUGAAUCCUUGCAUCGUUCUAUUUGGAUUUGAAUCCUAGCAAAUUCGUUUUACACAAUGUUCUGUUUCUGUUUGAAUCCUUGCAUCGUUCUGUUUGGAUUUAUGUUUGGGUUAGGAUUUUAUACAAUAUCAAAUAUAAAACUAAUAUCCUUUAGAAAUGCCAAAUAGUUUCAAAUUAAGACAUCAAUUAUCAAUCAAUAAAAUUAAAAUACAAGCAUAUCACAAAAAAAAUACUCGAUAUAUUGAUUGCUGGCAAUUGGAGAUGGUGGAUCUCCAGGUUGUAGAUUUAUAAAGUAUUUAUUUUUAUUUGGGGAUUGGAAAUUCUGUUUGGAUUUAUGUUUGGUGGGAAUGGGCUGGGAUCAUGUACUUAUAAUCAUAGAAUCCACUAGAUCAUCAGAUUAUAAGUGAUUUUCAUACCGAACCAGACCUGAAUAGGGGUUAUAUACAUUCUCAUUAUGAGAGGGUUCUAGCAUAUGUAAAUGGAAUUACUCGUUUGAAUCAGUUUUACACAAUGUUGAAUCGGUUUAAUUCGUUUUACACAAUAUUCUGUUUCUGUUUGAAUCAGUCAUUAUAUUACUGUUGGUGUAUAGACUUGUCGGUGCAAGCUCAAAACCUCAACUCUCUCAAGUGUUCACUCUCUCGUAUUGUCAACCCCCUCCCCUGUUGGACCAGGAGAGAUAUUUAUAGUUUCUUCUCGCCGACCUCGGGCCUCGUGGGCUCGUGUGUUGGGCCCGUCCACUCGCCUGGGCCGCCGACAGGCCCUGUUCGGUCCAUGGUACCAACAGUACUCCCCUCUUCCUCGACGGGCCCGGGCCCGGGGGCCGCCUGUCCCCGUCCCGUCUACAACCACCUCCAUUAAAGCUCCUCGGUGUUUGAGCCCAUCCUCCUUCUCCUUCCUAUAAAUAGCCUACUCGACUCUUCAACUUCUCAUACCAUCCCCCCUUCCGCCAUGAGUGUUCAAGACAUCCUCGAAGAGUACGGUCGCGAAGUGCAACUUCAGCAUGCCGCCUGGGCCAUGUGCCUGAUGUCGCCCGCCGACGUCCCUAACAGCGUGGCCGUGGCCGAGACUCAACGUCUAAACGCCGUGUUGAUCGACGUCCAUCGUCACCUCUCCCAGGUUCGCCACUCCGACCUUCUCGCCUACCCCGGUACCGCUCUUGCCGCCGUCUCGGGCUCCGCCGGCACCUCGCGUGCCUUCAGCGCGUAUGGUAUGAUCACCGCUCCUGCUGUCGCCGCCGCUGCCGAUUCUCUGCCAAAGCGUCGUCGGUCGCGCGGCCAUCGCCGCUCCCGGGGGUCUUCGUCCCUUCCGGCUACUGACCUGUGCCACUUCCUGUCGGGGUCCUCGAAGUCGGCCCGUGAUGAAGCACGGAAUCUGCUACCAGUAGGCUCGCGGGGUGGCGAGAUGAUCCGGAGGCUGUGGAGUCCACGACGCGCGCUCUACGUCAAACACCUGCAGAAGAGGAGGGGAAUCGACGACUCACGUGGGAGUAGACGAUUCGGGCUCCUUGGUUGCUCUAGUGUGGAGUGUGAGUCAAGAGAGUAAGUCAUGGAUGGAGGACACCCCUAGGACCCCUUUUAUAGGGUCCUAGAGGCGUUUCCAUUCAAUGGAGUGGGGCCCACCUCAUUAUGGUGCCCUAUUGAAGGGUGCCAUAAUGGGGUGGGCCCGCCCGCGUAACGGUUGGGAGUCGCCGAUCCAGGAGUGGAGUCGCCGAUUCCUUGGAGGCCAAGUCCUCGGUCUACCAGACCCGAGAUCCCUGGCCGGAAUCGGCGAUUCACCCUUGGAGUCGGCGACUUGGUAGUCCCAGUCGGCGACUCCUAAGUGUUAACUUGGGCUUUUGACGUAGACACGUGCUUCGCACCGUGGAAGCCUUUCCAGGGGUCCGGCAUAUAGUGACGGAACCCUAUUCCUUGUUUGAAGGGCGUUGCUGGGAGUGACUGACGUAAUCAGGCAUGUCUCACCAGUACUCCCCCCUGAAGAGAGUAUGGCUGAACACCCGUGUACCGCCAGUAUCCCCCCCCAAGCAAGGUGAUCCGCAUCAAGGCCAAAGCGACAAGAUGGGAUCGAAUCAAUGUGGCCACAGCGACACAAUGACUCCGUUACCCAUGCACUAUUAGAUGGGUUGAUUCACUAUCAGAAUCUAGUUCCAGGCCAAUAGAACUACGUGUUUAUAGUCCAACUCUGAUCAGGAGCGACUCUUUCUGUGUUAUCAUCAAGGCCGAAGCGACAAGAUGAAGGGAGAUUAUUAAGGCCCAAAGCGACAAAAUAAUUCUCAUCCAUUAAGGCCAAAGCGACAAAAUGAAGCGACUCGCUAUCAGAGUCUGAUUCUGACCAAAGCGACAGAAUGCGUGGAUCCUGGCCAAAGCGACAAGAUCUAGUUCACUAUCAGAACUGAUGUUUAUAGUCCACCCUGAUCAAGAGCGACUUUACGUCCGCAACGACGGUUACCCCACUAAGGUCGAAACGACAAAGUGGGUCGAGAUCAUUAAGGCCAAAUCGACAAAAUGAUCUCCAAGUCUAUCAAGGCCAAAGCGAUAAGAUAAGAGAAUUAUUGAGGCCAAAGCGACAAAAUAAUUCUUGGUCCAUUGAGGCUAUAGCGACAAAAUGGACUGACUCGUUAUUAGAGUCUGAUUUUGGCCGAAGCGACAGAAUGCGUGGAUCCUGGCCAAAGCGACAGGAUCGUUCCUGCAAAACAACUACAUCAGUCUAAAGGAUAUAUUUAUUGACUUACUGACCUUGCCGUGCGGGGCUGCUCCUCGUGCUGCUCCUUCCUAUGCUCAAUAAAUCCUCGAUUGAUCUGGCCGAAGCGACAGAUCUAUCAUGCUCAUGGUGUGACAGCUUCUGGCCAAAGCGACAGAAGUGUCGGGAAGAGUUUAUGAUACUCCCCCCCGAAUUUGACAACUUCUGGCCAAAGCGACAAGAGUGUCGGGACGAGCUUAUGAUACCCCCCCUUGAGAUCAUUAAGGCCGAAGCGUCAAAAUGACCCCUGGUCUACUAAGGCCGAUGCGACGAAGCAGACCGACUCACUAUCAGAGUCUGAUUCUGACCAAGGCUACAGAUCCACUAUCAGGAUCUACCAACCUCUUAUUCAUGACUGUUCCCUUAUUGGCAGGAACAUUGCCUCGAUGGCGCAGGCCAAUAGCAUGUCCAAUCAGAUGUAAAGCCACUGAGUGCAGAUCUAAGGAAUUCUGAGGACGAGGAGGAGUAUCGCCUUUUGCCCAAAUCUCUCCUGAAUCAAAAGUGAGCUCUACUUGCGGACUUGGAGGAGCCGUGGCCGAAGCUACAUGAGGUCCAGGUAUUGGCAAGAAUUGAAGAACUAUGUUGGCCUGACUUUUCACCGAUGUCUGUGAAUAAAAUAUCGAUUAGAUGAGUAUUAUAUUGUUGAUGAUAAUUAUGUUACGUUAUAAAUAAAUAUGUAGAUGAGUAUUAGGAACUUACAAUUGCAAAAUUUACACACGUCUGAGCUUCCCAUGUAUCGAAAGCCUUUGUAAAUAUGUUUUUGCAGAUGUAAAAUGGAAAAGGACAAGUCGGAUCGAUGUAGAACUUCACUGUACCACACCCCCAUUUUGCACAAAAAGGAGUGAAGUCGUUAUUGACUGCACUACAGGUUUGUCCAGAUGAUGUUGUUAUGGAUGCGAGGAGGAAGAAACCAAGGAAGACAAGAUAUGACAUGGUGAAUUAAUGACUAGAAUUUAGUUUCAAGCUUUGGGAAAUUGUGUUGUGUUUAAACUCAUCAUACACACCCAUAUUUAUACAACUUUUUUACAAUGUGAAUUUAAUGAGUUGAGUAUAAAAUAUAGCCAUGUUCAAUGUAUAUUAAAACUUUUAUAAAAUUCAAAUGUAUCUGAGGAUCGUAUUAAAAAGAAUAUGUACGAUGAAUAAUUUGUGGACAUGCAUAUAUAUAUUUUCGUAACACAACUUCAAUCCGCAUAAAGUUAACGAUCUUAUCUUAAAAAAAUUGGUUGUAUUUUAAAUACAUAUUAUAAUUAUGUUUAUUAUACAAAAUUAAAUUUUAUUAUAUUUUAAGCAAAAUAAAUUACAAUUUAAUUAUAUACUAUUUUCUGAUAAAAUCGAAAAAAUAUCGCCAUUGACUGCACUACAGGUUUGUCCAGAUGAUGUUGUUAUGGAUGCGAGGAGGAAGAAACCAAGGAAGACAAGAUAUGACAUGGUGAAUUAAUGACUAGAAUUUAGUUUCAAGCUUUGGGAAAUUGUGUUGUGUUUAAACUCAUCAUACACACCCAUAUUUAUACAACUUUUUUACAAUGUGAAUUUAAUGAGUUGAGUAUAAAAUAUAGCCAUGUUCAAUGUAUAUUAAAACUUUUAUAAAAUUCAAAUGUAUCUGAGGAUCGUAUUAAAAAGAAUAUGUACGAUGAAUAAUUUGUGGACAUGCAUAUAUAUAUUUUCGUAACACAACUUCAAUCCG
rnacentral:lncRNA from 1 species